rnacentral:rRNA from 1 species
UACGUAGGGUGCAAGCGUUUGUCCGGAUUUAUUGGGCGUAAAGGGCUCGUAGGCGGUCCGUCACGUCGGAAGUGAAAACCUAGAGCUUAACUCUGGGCCUGCUUUCGAUACGGGCGAACUUGAGUUCGGUAGGGGAGACUGGAAUUCCUGGUGUAGCGGUGGAAUGCGCAGAUAUCAGGAGGAACACCAAUGGCGAAGGCAGGUCUCUGGGCCGAUACUGACGCUGAGGAGCGAAAGCGUGGGGAGCGAACAGG